ensembl:lncRNA
AAAGGCUGUUGAUUAAGUCCAACCUUAUUCAACAUAUAUAUAUCAAUGAUUUGGCUACAGAGAUUACAAGAUCUGCGGUCCCAGGUCUUAAACUUCUAAAUGAAGAAAAACUUAACUAAUACAGUCUAACAAGGGCCCCUUCCAAUUAACCUGGAUAAGUCCAAAAUCAUGAUAUUCCAGAAAAGACACGCCAUACUUAAUAGUGUUUAUAGGAUCACAACUGGUAAACAAAAACUUGAACAGGUAAAUAGAUAUUUUUAUUUAGGAUUAAUGAUUUCAUCCACAGGCAUUUUGAUGGUGCAAUAAGAUAUUUAACUGAAAAGGCAAGCACAACCUACUACAUGCUAAGGAACUCAUCACAAAAAAUAUAACCAUCCUAUAAAACUCUGCUUACAAAUUUUGUAUUCAUUACUGAAACCAAUACUAUGUUAUGGGAGUGAAGUUUGAGCAGAGGGGGUUGACACCCCGAGGGCGAGAACCCUUAAACUAUCUAGUCCAAAAAAACAUGCUUAAAAAAAAAAAAACAGUUAAAAGAAAGGAAUAAAGAAAAUUACAUUAACUACGUUUUUUUUUUUUAUCUUAUGGAAUUUAACUUUAUUUAAUUAUUAUUAUUUAAUUUUUUCCCCGUAUAACUAUUAUUAUUGUCGUUAUUGCUUAAGUGCUUUGGUAAUGUUGUAUUGUAUAGUCAGGCCAAUAAAGAGAGAGAGAGAGAUGUACAGAUAUAGCGAGAAUCAAAGAAAUGCACUCCACUCUAUAUAAAAAACAACAACAAAUUCAAUAACUCAUAUUGCAGCAUGAAACAAUACAAAUCCUUUGUAAUCAGCCAAUGGAAUGUCCAGGGGUUAAGAUCAUCAGCCUUUGGACUAAAAAGUAACAAUGACUUAUUUGAUGAGUUCAAGGGGAGGGGGAGGGGAAGAGAGGGCGACUUACCAAGUGACUGUCCCGCCAGGCUAUGGGGGAGCAAGAAAGCUCCCUGGAGUGACACAGGGAAGGACAUCAGGGGUGGAAUCCUUAUCUGGUUAAAAGCUAAAUAUACAAACUCUAUUGAACUUGUUAGACAAGGUGAAAAUUAUGUAUGGCUUAACCCAGUACCCACUUACAAACCCAGG